rnacentral:rRNA from 1 species
GACGAACGCUGGCGGCGUGCUUAACACAUGCAAGUCGAGCGGUAAGGCCCUUUCGGGGGUACACGAGCGGCGAACGGGUGAGUAACACGUGGGUGACCUGCCCUCAGCUCUGGGAUAAGCCUGGGAAACUGGGUCUAAUACUGGAUAUGACUCCACGGUGCAUGUCGUGGGGUGGAAAGCCUUGUGCGGCUGAGGAUGGGCCCGCGGCCUAUCAGCUUGUUGGUGGGGUGANGGCCUACCAAGGCGACGACGGGUAGCCGGCCUGAGAGGGCGACCGGCCACACUGGGACUGAGACACGGCCCAGACUCCUACGGGAGGCAGCAGUGGGGAAUCUUGCGCGAUGGGCGAAAGCCUGACGCAGCGACGCCGCGUGAGGGAUGACGGCCUCGGUUGUAAC